rnacentral:rRNA from 1 species
GACGAACGCUGGCGGCGUGCUUAACACAUGCAAGUCGAACGGAAAGGCUCCAGCUUGCUGGAGUACUCGAGUGGCGAACGGGUGAGUAACACGUGGGUAAUCUGCCCUGCACUCUGGGAUAAGCCUGGGAAACUGGGUCUAAUACUGGAUAUGACCUUUCUCCUUAUGGGGGUUGGUGGAAAGUUUUUCGGUGUAGGAUGAGCCCGCGGCCUAUCAGCUUGUUGGUGGGGUGAUGGCCUACCAAGGCGACGACGGGUAGCCGGCCUGAGAGGGUGAUCGGCCACCUUGGGACUGAGAUACGGCCCAGACUCCUACGGGAGGCAGCAGUGGGGAAUAUUGCACAAUGGGCGGAAGCCUGAUGCAGCGACGCCGCGUGAGGGAUGACGGCCUUCGGGUUGUAACCCUCUUUCAGCAGGGACGAAGCGUAAGUGACGGUACCUGCAGAAGAAGCACCGGCUAACUAUGUG